rnacentral:tRNA from 6 species
GGGCGCAUAGCUCAAUGGUAGAGCAAUCGUCUUAUACACGAUCGGUUCCAGGUUCGAAUCCUGGUGCGCCCA